AUUUAUUUAAGAUUCGUGGUAGUGAAUUAAUUAAGUCAUUCAACAUAUAUACCUCGGGGUCCUUGGACUCAAAAUCCAUAGGAGUAGCAACAUGAAAAACUCCUGUACACCCUUUAAUAGCUUCAUCAAAACUACCCUCUUCCCCAAGGUCAGCCUUCCAAAGAGAUAGUUUGCUAUUUGCACCUGGCAGUUCCAACAAAUGCUUCACCUUCUUCAUGUUAUCUGCAUUAUUAUUACCUUAAUUAGUGUCAUAACCAAAUCCAUAAUGUUUAAACAAAUGAAUUAAUUAAUUAUUAAUUUAGGCAUGAUAUGAAAAAUGAUGCAACAUGCAUUAUUAUAAUAGGAACCUGGGUCGCGCACGGUGGCUCGAACUGUGUAGCCGCGCUCCAUAAGUCUCAUAACAAGCCACGACCCGAUGAAACCUGAAGCCCCUGUGACGCAAACUGUUUCUGAGACUGAACCCAUGUAUAUAUUUUGAACGGAAGACAAUGUAUGUGGUGGGUGACUCUAUUUAUUUAGAAAGAAGCUGUUGUAAAGAGAGAGGAAUGAAGAGAAACCUGAGCUGAUGAGAGUAAGAAAAUGUAAGGGGUUUAUAUAGUAUGAAGUGACGUGAAGGAAAUGUAAGGAUAUUAAGGAAUGUAUGAAGUGACGUGAAGGAUCUUCCUUGGUGCGGAGGUCUGUAUAGUGUGAUCCCAAUAUUUAAGCACAUCUAUAACACACGCAAAGAAGAAUUAAAUAUACGUAUUUUUAAAAUAAGUAAAUGAUGUAUAUAUAUUUUUUAUAUGUCUAUAUAAUAUUUACUUAGGGUUGUGAUCCCACUAAGGUAUUUCUUUUAUUUUGUUAAAUAAUAUUUACUUAGGGUUGUAAUUUCAAUAUUCACAUUUUUAAUAUUAAUAAGUGUAGUAUUCACGGUUUGAAAUCCAACACUACAUAUAUUAUACAAUAUCUAUAUCAGCUGAGUUAAACUCACAAAAACGAUAAUUCUAUUUUCUAAAUUUACUAGCUAUAAACAUUUGAGUUGUCAUAAGUCAUAUAACAACGAAGAGAAGAGGUUAAGAUUAAGUUUUAAAAAAAAAAAUUGUGAUAUUAAUUUUUGAUUUUUUGGGUUAAGUUUGAAGAUUGAUGAAAAUGAUGAGGUUGUAUGAAGAAGAUGAUGAAGAUGAGAAUGAAGAAGAUGAAGAAAGAUUAAAUAAUAUUAGGUGUUGCUGCUUCACCAUAAAACACAAUAGACAUGCAUGAUCAUACGGUGUUCUUUUAUGAGAAAAGAUCUAAUGGUUAAAAUUUUAAAAAUUAUUAAGGUCUAUGGUGGACUAUCUAUAAUGUUGGUCCACAAUAGACAUUUGAGAUUUUUAUUUUAUUUUUUUAGAAAAAUAGGCAUUUGAGGUUAAAGUUGACGGAAAUGAUUUAUUUGACGACGGAGGCAAACCUGAGGGACCAAAACAUGAAUUUUAUUACUUAUGAGAUCAAAAUAAAAAUUUGAAAUUAAUUAAGGGAACAAAUGACCUAUUAAACUAAAAAGUUAUGUAGGUAGGUAAGUUUCCUUUUUUGUUAUAAUAUUUUUUUUCUUUUCUCACACCACCUUAUUCUCUUUUAUCAAUUGACAAUGUUAAUCGUAAUGGUUUAUUUUUUUAUCUUUGUCUUAGUUGACCUAAUUCAUUUUUGUAUGAAUUAAUAAUUUUAGGAAAUAAGUAUAGUAGUCCAAAAUCCAAUUAAUACAAGUCACGAGAUUUUUUGAAUAAGCACGUGAUCAGCUGCCGGCAUAGCAAGGAAUGAAGUCAAGAGCUGGUAAGUGGGAGCUCAUGACAACCUUCCGGUAGUAUCAUUUAAAGUUAGACUAGUAAGUAAGUAAGUAAAAUCCGAAUGAUUCGUCUUCAACUUCAUCUCUAAAAUAUUGAAAUGUUAACAAAACCACAACUUUUAAUCCAAGUAAAUGGCCGGUCCUCUAACUCUAUACAACACAAUUAGGAUGAGGGUGUUGUCCCCCUUUUAUCCACAUGUUCAACAAUAUCAGUGACAACACAUCACGUAACUCCUUCGCCUAUUUAUAUAAUUUCUAGAAUAAUUGAGGAUUCAAUGUUUAAUUUAUAUAUUGCCAAAAAGGCCAGAUGCAUGGGAUGGUGGUAUUAUAUUAUAUUAUAUUUUUCAAAUAAAUAAAAGUUUAAAUAAGUUACAAUCUAAACCCAUUGGUUGAAUUGAAUUUAAUCUAUGCAAACAUUGCAUAGGAUAAGGUACAAUUAAUGUUCCACUUUUUUCACCGUGACAAAAACAAUAUUUUCUAUGUAUCAUCCCAUUUUUCUUAAUAAAUUGACCUUUACUGAUUGAGAACCGAUCUUGUUAGUAUAUAUAAAAUUUGGAAGUUUCUUUCUCAUUUAGAAAACACUGACCAAUAAAAGAUUCAGAAUAAUUUUUAAUUUCCUGCUCACUGUUCCUCAAAUCAAUUACUUCAUAUAUAUUAUGAACUAUAUAUCACAUGGUUCAUUAUUUUGAAGAUUUCUUCAAAUCAAAUAAAUUUGUGACUCUCAACUUACACAAAUAAGUUUACAUUAUUACGAGAUUGCUAAAAAAGUAAAAUGAUAUUACCAAUUUUUGUCCAACUACAACAAAAUAUUAUUAUUGUAUUCGUAAAGAAUGGUGGAAUAUUUAUAAAGAGUAACAAAUAUAUGCUUGUGUGCAUGAGUGCAUAUUUGACCUGGUUAUUGUAUGUUUUUGUACGUGAGUGUAUGCUUGAGUCAAGAUGCGAAUGAGAAAAAUGUUAGAUAUAAUUAUAACAAAUGAAUUAUAAUGGUUUUUUAAAAUGAGAACAUAUGAGUUUUUUAACACGAGAACAUAUGAAUUAUAGUAGAAGUCAAUUGAGAAAAAGGUGAAAGCAAUUGAGAAGACAUGAGAAAAACCUGAAAAAAGUUGGAAAAAUGUAUAUGUAUAACUUAUUAUGAUUUAGCUACCAUAUCAGAAUCAAUGGAUGAGUUUUGUCCACUUGCCAUAUCUUUGAAAAAAAUUAACGUGGAAGGAGAAAAUAAUGUGAAAGAAAAAAAACUUAACUACAUUGAAUUUUAUUUAGAAGAUGACUAUUCAGUUUUCUUAGUUUUUCGCAAGAUACAAUAAAUAAAAUGGUUAAUUAAUAAGGGAGAGAAGAUUUUUUUAAUCACUUUUCACCAAAAACAUAAUCAAUAUGAUAGUUUAGAUUGAAGAAAGUGGUGACUUAUUGCAUCUUAUUCUAUGCAAUGUUGCGUAGGUUAGAAAAAUCUUUAUUUAAAAUAUUUUUAAUCUCUACGCAUUAAAGACUCGCUCAUAUUAGAUACUCAAAAGCUCACGGUAGUCAAACUUAUAAUUUUUUGUUGGACAAACACAUUAGUCAAACUUUACUAGAAUCAUUUUAAUCGAAUUUAACUCUAGUAACGGUCCACAAUACAUAUUUUUCAUGUAUAAUGUCAAUGUUGAUUUUUCAUCAAUUAAAACUAAAUCGAAUCCACGGGUUCAACAUGUUGAAAUUGACCGGAAAGCCAAGACAACAUCAAAACUAACGGUUUGGCCGGUUAAAGGGAUAAAACAAUUUUAUUUUAUUUUUGAAAACUUAAAAUGAUCUUCAACAUCCUUCUUCCCUUACUCAUGUGAUGUACGAUAUUUGCCAUGUGGGACUGCAUCUGGCUAAGAGUAAAUUAAGGACAUGGACGAGAAAUACGUAUUAACUGAAGUGGUUGUACUAAGGCCGUCGAAUUUUCCUAUUUGGUUAUCAGAGAUUUUUGGAAUUUGGACCUUUUUCAAUUACAAAAAAAUUUAGGUGAAUUGUACUAUGAGAGCUCACCAAUAUCAAAGUAGUCCUCAAAAUUUAACCAACAUUAACUAAUGUACUUCCAAAUGAUACACCGAGUUUGUUUUGUAUAUGUGUUACUUGGCCUCAUUUUAAUUAAUUAAAACAAAAGUAUUUUUCUAAGCGCAUUUCCUAGCAGGAACUAUGUUGUUUUGAUUUCCUUACUGCACUGAAGGAUACCAACUAUAUCUAAUAAUAGAAAUAGGAGACCACCAUGUAAAGCUAAAUAAUAGUACUAUUUUUUUUCUUCAUAAUUUUCCAUUUUCUCAAGGCUUAAGCUUUCAACAUUUUGCAAAUAAAUAAUAUUCAAUAAUUCAUUAUCUUUUCCUUUUUCGUGUAGCUCUCAAUAAGGAACAAAUGAAAGAGAUAGAAAACAUUCAAGUAAGUUUGGGCUUCAACAGGAUUGCACAAACAUUCCAGCUACUAAAGAAAAUCUCAAGGAAUUAAGUAAGAUCCUAAAGCCAUCACAGAAACACACAUAAAGACACAUAGCCUAUACUUAUUUAUUUAUGUGUGACACCAUUACUUAUUGGUGCUUUUAACAAAUUUAGGAAGAAGCCCUUUUUCUAUGCAUGUAUCAAUUGCUUCAGUGUACAUAUCCUCCAAGCUGUAUUUAAACUCGAAUCCCAAGUCUUUGAUCUUCUUUGAUGAAAAUCUCACAAGCUCCAAUUCAUCUGGAAUAUUAUUGAACCUAAAAAUCCAAUUUGAACAAUUAGACUAACAUAUAGUUUCAACUUUAAUUAAUACUUGAAAUAGCACGGAGUACACUUACUUUGUGGGGAUAUUGUACUCUGGAUAUUUUGUAUUAAUUAAUUUUGCAAUGUCAUGAAUAUUAGCUUCACAUGCACUACAUAGAUACCUCCCUUCUACUUCCAUAUGCUCAAACAAGAAUAUGUGAGCUUCACAAAGAUCAUCCAAGUGGACGAAUUGGCCUUGCUUUAUAAUCGAAUAAUGAGCUUCAUUUCCUGCAGAUAGAUUUGUGGAAAAACGUGUUAUUUUCGACCAUAAAAUUAGUUUGUCUAACAUUUCUAAAGGUAUAUUUUCAUAAUAUACCAGUGAUAGGAGAAAGGGCAGUGAUUAGGCUAGGUGGCAUGGUAGGAAUAAGAAAAGGACCAACAACAAGAGGUGGGAUGAUUGUGAUGAAAUCCAUGUUGUGCUCUUUGGCAAAUUUCCAUGCUUCUUGCUCCGCAAGUGUCUUUGAAACAAAAUACAUCUAAACAAAAAAUAUAAAAACCAAGAUAUACAUUAUUUAAUUGUUUGUUAAAAUUCAAGUGAAGAGAAUGUAUGUAUUUAUGAAAAUAAAUUUCUAACCCAGCCAGUCAUCUUCACUCUCCUACAAAACUCAACAUCACUCCAACAGCUUUCAUCCCACAAGGGCUUUUGAUCUUCAGUAACGUUUAGGGUUCCGGCCGAUGAUGUGAAAAUAAAUCUACGGACAGUUUUGGCCUUGAGGCAUGCUUUCAUGAUGUCUAGCACCCCUUUUAUGGUAGGCUUGAUCAUUUCAUUCUGCAGUUCAAAUCAAGUUGCAAACCAUUUCAAACUCAAUUUCCCAGAUCCUCAGAACAGAUAGAUAUAUAAUCAUUAAAAGGGAUUUUCACGAGACACUCCAAUGAAUUUUUCACAAGAGAUGACAAAAAAAUUCUAUGAUUCGAUUGUUAGGUUUGCAAUCAUAUAUUUCUUUUGAUUUUUCACAAUUUAUUUGAAUUAUGUUGUUUGAUUUGUAAUUUUGGAGUUUUAUUGCUUAAUUUGUUGUAAACUUUAGUAGAUGAGAUGGCAGUGACUGUUUUUUUUCUUUCUUUCUUUCAACUCACAAUCUCCUUGAAUAAUUAAGAGGCUAUCAAAAAAAUAUUCUUGAAGUAUUAACCACCAAUCAACCAUUUGUUUUACUUCUCAACCACCAUUAUCACCAAAAUUUUAAUUCACUUUUAUCAUUUUCGUCGUGUCACAAUCGUUAAUACUAUAUAAAGCUUUUGUCAAAAAACUAUAACUGAAAAUUAUGGUCAGAUGUGAUCAAUACCAUCUCAAUCUCAUUUACGUAGAUAUUUAAAACUUAGAUAUCUAUAGCUUGUCAUUAACCCUUUAAAAAAAAUAGUUGUGACAUCCAUGUCAUCACCAUCUUUGCCACCUAGGUACCUAUUCACUGUCCUUAUCACUAGAUGAUGUUGAACGCAAAUAGAACAAAGUUGGAGUCACAUAUUAUGUCCUCUAAAUUAAACAUUUGAAGUUUUACAUAAAUUGUGUGGUAUAAAACUAAGUCUCCAAAACGGAGUUAAGACAAUCUCUACACAAUAGAGAAUCUAACAAACCAUCACCCCUAAUAAAUUACAUUAUGCUCAAAAUAUGUUCAUAUUUCAUAUUUGAAUUCUUGAAUAUCACUUCAUCAAUGUUUUUUUUUUUUUUGGUCAAGUAGCCUAGUGGCUAGAGCUCACACAAUUAAAUUGUGGAGAAGUGGAGUGUCCGGGGUUCGAACCCCAGCCCCUGCAUAUAAUAUGCAAUAUCCCUACCAACUGAGCUAAGCUCACGGGGAUCACUUCAUCAAUGUUUUAAUACCAUUAUAUAUUGGAUUAAUGGUGAAUAACUACUAAAAUGGAAACGGUUCAUACACUUAAUGGAUUAUCAAUGUAGUGAUGGGAUGGUUACAAAAAUGGAAAAUGAUAAACAUCCCAAAGGAUAUUAUUAUUAUACUAGGGUGAGGUGAGAAAUUAUUAGAUCACUAUGAGAGACUAGUGCCAAUGUGCCAUGCAUAUAUGAGAUGAUAUUGAUAGAUGCAUAGAAAUUUAAAUUAUGGGUAGGUAGAUAUACCUCAGGGUCCUUGGACUCAAAAUCCAUAGGAGUAGCAACAUGAAAAACUCCUGUACACCCUUUAAUAGCUUCAUCAAAACUACCCUCUUCACCAAGGUCAGCCUUCCAUAGGGACAGUUUGCCCUUUGCACCUGGCAGUUCUAACAAAUGACUCACCUUCUUCAAGUUUUCUGCAUACCAAAAUGUGUGUAUAUAUAAACCCAUCAAUUUCCUUGAAUUUUGAAAUCUCUAGUCAAAACACACUCUUACAUUAUUUUGUUAGUAUCAAACAGCUGAAUUUUGAUUAAAAAAAUUGUUGGUGUUAAAAUAUGAAUUGAUUUAUACAUGAUAUGAAAAAUGUUGCAACAUACAAAAAAAAAAAAAAAAAAAAAGGACCUGGGUCGCGGACUGUUGCUCGAACCAUGUAACCGCGC
rnacentral:lncRNA from 1 species